rnacentral:rRNA from 1 species
AUUGAACGCUGGCGGCAUGCUUUACACAUGCAAGUCGAACGGCAGCGCGGGCUUCGGCCUGGCGGCGAGUGGCGAACGGGUGAGUAAUGCAUCGGAACGUGCCCAGUAGUGGGGGAUAGCCCGGCGAAAGCCGGAUUAAUACCGCAUACGACCUGAGGGUGAAAGCGGGGGACCGAAAGGCCUCGCGCUAUUGGAGCGGCCGAUGUCGGAUUAGCUAGUUGGUGGGGUAAAGGCUUACCAAGGCGACGAUCCGUAGCUGGUCUGAGAGGACGACCAGCCACACUGGGACUGAGACACGGCCCAGACUCCUACGGGAGGCAGCAAUGGGGAAUUUUGGACAAUGGGGGCAACCCUGAUCCAGCCAUGCCGCGUGCGGGAAGAAGGCCUUCGGGUUGUAAAACGCUUUUGUUCGGGAAGAAAUCCUCUGGGCUAAUACCCCGGGGGGAUGACGGUACCGGAAGAAUAAGCACCGGCUAACUACGUG